GUCUGAAUGGUUUAAUGGUAAAAUCGAAGCUUCCCAUAUUCAAUUGGUCAUGACUAUGAUAAGUACAUGAAGCAUGCUUUGGCUCCGGGUUCGAUUCCCGGUUCAGACA